AGGACGAACGCUGGCGGCGUGCCUAACACAUGCAAGUCAAGGGGGCCCAGCAAUGGGCAACCGGCGAACGGGUGCGUAACACGUGAGCAACCUACCGAAAUGUGGGGGAUAGCCGGCCUAACGGCCGAGUAAUACCGCAUACGCUCUCGAUGAGGCAUUUCAUUGAGAGGAAACCUACGGGACAUUUCGAGGGGCUCGCGGCCUAUCAGCUAGUUGGCGAGGUAACGGCUCACCAAGGCAACGACGGGUAGC
rnacentral:rRNA from 1 species